rnacentral:rRNA from 1 species
GACGAACGCUGGCGGCGUGCUUAACACAUGCAAGUCGAACGGAAAGGCCCUGCUUUUGUGGGGUGCUCGAGUGGCGAACGGGUGAGUAACACGUGAGUAACCUGCCCUUGACUUUGGGAUAACUUCAGGAAACUGGGGCUAAUACCGGAUAGGAGCUCCUGCUGCAUGGUGGGGGUUGGAAAGUUUCGGCGGUUGGGGAUGGACUCGCGGCUUAUCAGCUUGUUGGUGGGGUAGUGGCUUACCAAGGCUUUGACGGGUAGCCGGCCUGAGAGGGUGACCGGCCACAUUGGGACUGAUAUACGGCCCAGACUCCUACGGGGGGCAGCAGUGGGGAAUAUUGAACAAGGGGCGGAAGCCUGAUGCAGCAACGCCGCGUGCGGGAUGAGGGCCUUCGGGUUGUAAACCGCUUUCGCCGGUGACGAAGCGUGAGUGAGGGUAGUGGGUAAAGAAGCACCGGCUAACUACGUG